UUCCCAAACAUCAAAACACGAACCCUAAAUCACAUCCCUCUUUCCUGUGUGUCUAGAGAGAAAAACAGAGCAGAGAAUCAGCUCGAUCUAGAAGAAGCUCUUCAAGCUUCCAGAAACGCUAGUCAAUCAUACUCUACUCAUCGCAGAGAGUGGCCACCUUUGUUAGAGGUGGGUGAUACUGGGGAAUUUCCUUCUGUAUGUAAUACAGCAGGCGGUGAAGGCACGGCUUUGGAUUUUUUUCCAAAGAUUCGACGGGUUUGGGCAUCCGUGGAGAAUUCUCUGUUUCUGUGGCGUUUUAACAAAAGUUGUUGCUUUGUCAAUUAGGGAUGGGCAAUGUCAGGAUAUUUGUGCGGUUAGUUUAACCAAAUGUAGAUCUGUUUUUUUUUUUUGGUGAAGCUAUUCAGGACAGAGGGUCUUGAUCUUCCUGAUGUACUCGUAGAAGUCGAAAAGUGUGGAUCCUAUUUUGACGAGUUGCUAGCAGUUCCUGAACACGAUGAUUGGAUAUAUAGCGAUGGGAAAUCAACUUUUUGUAUCACUUUCAUCCUCGAAAUGUACAAAGAAGGUGGCUUGUUGGAUCCAAUCUCUAGUUCCAUCCAAGUUGCUGAAUUCACGAUCAAGGAUGCUUACAUGCUCAAGUUUUUUUAGAACAAUGCAAGCUGUUUGCCUAAAUGGUGCAACGACAACAAUGAUGUAAAGCUACCGCACUGUCAAAUCCUUGGGAAAUACAGAAUGGAGCUUCCCGGUUACAACACUAUGGAGCCAUACCCGCAUACGAACGAGCACUGCUCGUCUCUGCGUGACUGCGUCCAAAGUACCAUAGACCAAAGAACUGCUAGAACAAAUAUAUUAAGUGUUGUCUGUUUGUUAGGAAUGACUUGGUGUAAUGAUCCACGAAUAUGUGACAAAGUUCACUUCAAAUACAUCUGUAAAGAAAGAGAGUGCGACUCAUCAUUGUCGUCUUUGUAAUAUGCGUUUAAUAUUUGGGUUUUAGAUACUACUUUAUGGAUACAUUGUUAGGCUCAGAUUUUGGAUUAUAGUGUAUGAGUUCAU